rnacentral:rRNA from 1 species
UACGAAGGGGGCUAGCGUUGUUCGGAAUUACUGGGCGUAAAGCGCACGUAGGCGGAUUGUUAAGUCGGGGGUGAAAUCCCAGGGCUCAACCCUGGAACUGCCUCCGAUACUGGCAUUCUGGAGUCCGGGAGAGGUGAGUGGAAUUCCGAGUGUAGAGGUGAAAUUCGUAGAUAUUCGGAAGAACACCAGUGGCGAAGGCGGCUCACUGGCCCGGAACUGACGCUGAGGUGCGAAAGCGUGGGGAGCAAACAGG